rnacentral:rRNA from 1 species
CCUACGGGAGGCAGCAGUUUCCACAGUUCACCGAGCUUGCCGAAAUCUUCGUCCUCGGUGAGUUCUGGUCCGAAGCGCCAGAAUGUGAGCAGCGUCUUGCGCAUAUCCUGCGCGGAUUCGUUCUGUGCACCCAACGCGACCAGCAGCCGCGGUAAU